ensembl:miRNA
GGGUUUCCCUGUAGCCCCAGCUGUCCUGGAACUCACUAUGUAGACCAGGCUGGCCUCGAACUCACAGAGAUCCGCCUGCCUCUGCCUCCCGAGUGCUGGGAUUAAAGGCGUGUGCCACCACAGCCGG